rnacentral:lncRNA from 1 species
UGCAAGAGCCUUUGGCCCCAUGGAGGGCCUGCUGGCUCCCGGCCUCUUCACCUCAGCUCCUUCUGGAGAUGACCAAGGCUGUGGUGGUGUCUGAAGACUUAAGCAAGGCCCAGGUCACACUGGGUUUCAAGGGGAGAUGAUGAAUGUUAACAGACUGGAUAAAAAUGUAGAUAUUCGGGAAAGUCUAAAACUGUUCAUAAUAAGCUCAAAAAUUAAAAGAAGAAAUAAACAAUCUCAACCUAGUAAAGCCACAUCCACAAGCAUAGGCCAAGUCACACAUGACAAAGAAUGACAGAUCUGAUACCUGUCUACAGCCAGGGAAGUCUGACACCCUCGCCUGGCCCCCUUCUUGAUGGUAACACUGUAGGGGGCAGAGAGGGGUGACUUGGAAUAGGAUACGUAAAGUGAAUCCGGAAAACAGACAACCUGGCUGAUCAAGCAGCAGCUGAUUUAAAGGAAUUGAUGUCUGCUGCUAAGAGUAUGAAGCCCUGAGGGCUGAGACCACAUCUGCCUGGUUUUCUAUGGCAACUGCAGCAUCAAUACUGACUCUUCGAAGAGUAGCAGCUGCUGAACAUUUCUCCAGCAAACAAUGUUUUUUUCUCUGCUAGGAACUGGAUAAAUGCAAAGGAAGGAGGGGAGAGUGUGUCAGAUGGGGACCCUGCC